UGCCCAUCUGGGCAGAGAGAUCCUCCUCCUGUCAUCACUGACUGCAUCUGAGUUUCAUCUGGCUUUUGGAUUUCCUAAACAAGGAUUUCAUUCUUUUGUGUCAUUUAUCUACAGCUCAUGGUCUACUACUUACAUUCUCUCAUUAUAUAACACUGCAAAAUACUGCUUCAUGCUUAUAUUUACAGCCCUAGAAAUAGUCCUUUUAUGUGUAGCAGCAUUGAAUUUCUCAGUAUUAAGUGUCAAAAGGUUGUCAGUGUACAAGAAUGAGGGAAACUAGGAAGCCUUGAAAUGCUGACAUUCGCAUAGAUGCUUGUUGUUGCCAAAACAUGAGCACAAAUACAGCCUGUCAGGUGGCACAAGUUGGUAAUGAAGCACUCAUAAAGGAGACAGACACAUCAAUAUUGAACGUGGUGAUCUUAGAUGACAGAGAAGCAAAACUACAGAAACCAAGAUACAAAAGUUAUCAAGAGAUGCAAGGUCUAACAGAGAUGUAAUUCUCCCAGUCAACCACCUCGUAAUGCUGAGAAAGGUAGAUGCAGGAAACAAUUAUCUGGAGGCAGCUGCAAGCUACGAAUCCUUUCUGAAGAAUUCAAAAUCUCACAUUUUUUAUAGAUAAGUGAGUGCUGUCUCUGGUCAGCCCAAGGGUGAUGGCUUUACAGUUGGAGAGGCAAGGACAUCCCCUAUAUGGUGCAUAGAGUGGCAGAGGCCCCUUGGACCAGGCUACAGCCUCGAGAGAGCCCUAGCACUGCCAUCACCUCCCUGGUUACCACUGUUGAUUGAUUUUUGCAUUCACUGGCCCUUAGGGAGGCAGUCCAAGGCAAACAAAGGAAAGGUAUCCAUUUGCAACUGUGCAUUAGAUUCUGAACAUCUCUAUGAGUGCAGUGUCACCAAUCAGGUCAACAAAGCCUUGUAAGGAUGAAGGGGGAGAAGGAGAGCCAACAUUUACCUUUCUGGUGGCAGCACAGCCCCAUGCAAGCUUCUGGAUUACUUUCACCAUGCAGCCCAACACCACUGCAGCACAGGCUGCUGAAAUGGCAGGAAAACAGCUCAUUUGGUGGGUACCAGCGACAGCGGACCUGAUGACGCGGCUCAACUCUCUCCAAGUGAGCACUUCAUUUCUUCCCCCACUCACCCCACCUUCAGCACACACCAUCACACUCUCCGCUCGGUCCUUAGCAGGUGUGAUUAAAGAUAAUGAGCUGCUGAUUAGCACCGGAGAACACAACUGAAAACAUUUCAUUCCAAUUGCCUUUCUUGUUGAGUUAAUUAAAAUAAACCACAAAGCUUCUCAGCUGUAUUAGAUGUCUGCUUAGCUCAAAGCCCGUCGACUGAAUAGGUCUGCAAUCAAUACUUGUGUUGACUUCCACCUCGCAUUAGCAUAACAAAAGAGACUAAUAGCAGCUUUCAGAUGAUUCCCAGUGAUGUAGCUGCUCUUUGGACUCUUACUGGCUUGCUGCUGGGAUGCUUGGGUUGCGGGGAAGGUGCUACGCAGUCCUUCCACAAGCACAACGCUUUCCGGAGAAGCAAGGCUAAGGAGAAAUGUCCACUGACCACCUGUACUCGCAUUAAACUGUAAACAGUGCUUUGAUAGAUGUCAGCUGCUUCUUGAGACUUGGUUCAGAUGGUCUGUGAAAACUUUGGCUGUAGCAUUAGCGAGAGUACUUUUGACCCCGUAUUGAUGGUUCAGAAAGUUCUGGAUCGUGUUUUAGUCUGAGAGCAGCGCUGCAGUCAGUAGAUUCCUGCAGGCAGAAAUAAACUUUUUUGCUCAUUA